CAUUGGUGGGAUGAUAUUUGUUUUCGGAAAAUAAUGAUGUCGACUAUAAUAAUCAGACUACAAUUAUCUGAUCAAUG